AGGAAAGUCUAGUCUCUUGCAAGUUAACGCAUAGUGUUGUGAUAUAGCAACGUUAGCGCUUAGGUAAGCGAGUGGGAUGUAGGUCGUUUUUCUCUCGCAGCGAGAACGAAAGCGUUCGCUCCUCCGAAGCUUGUUUGGGGAUAAGGUUUGAUAUAUUGAAUACUGCUUGAUUUUAUCCAGAAAGAUUGUCGCGGGGUGAACUUCACCCAACUAAAUUUAGCUUACCGCU
rnacentral:RNase_P_RNA from 1 species